rnacentral:lncRNA from 1 species
UGAUCUGGAUUUUUAAGCGGUUAAGUAAAUAUCAUGGGGCAGGCACUGGGGGGCACAAUAUCCCAAAUAGCCGUAUUUGCAUCACAACCCUUGGAUGAGGUGAUUGCCCAACGUCGCCCAUCAUCAUCCCGGCAGGUUAAGUCCAGGAUGCCAUCCCCGUCACAGUCUGCACUCUGCAGGACUGCGGUGUCGUGGAUGCACCACCCGGAUGGCCUGGUGCAUGAAGCUGCGGCAAAAAAAACAGCAACGAUAAUAAUUGAUCAAUGCCAGAAGCAGAUCGGGCAGGUGGCCUAGCUAGGAAAGGCCACAUGAAGGGUGGAGGCCAGACCAGCUGGAAAUGAAAGGCCAGGCAGUGUAACUACGAUUUCUAGACGCAUUGAGCAGGUCGGUGCCACAAAGAGACUCAGGGCUUGCUUGCCAGCAGCCGUAGGAUAACCGUACAUGCAUGCAUGCAUGCAUGCAUGCAUGCAUGCCACCAAUACAUUCGGUGAUUGAGCAUUGCUAUGCGCUUGCAUGCAUGUUUUGUGCGAUUGGGCAUAUGUAUACAGUUGCCAAAUAUGAUGCCUGAGGGGCUUCAGGUAAGGUGUACACACUGCUGCAAUUCACUGCUCCGAAGCAAGUGGGGUUGAACAAUAAUAUGCUAUGAUAAUUCCGAGGGGCAAUGCCGGUUCGAGGGAAUUCCCUCGAACCAUCUCAAUUUCAUCGCAACGGCUGGGUUAUUACUACGUACCUGGAUCUGUGGGUGGCGAGAAUAUCUUGGGGCAGGCACUGGGGGGCACAAUAUCCCAAAUAGCCGCAUUUGCAUCACAGCCCGUGGAUGAGGUGAUCGCCCAACGUCGCCCAUCAUCAUCCCGGCAGGUAACAUCCAGGGCGCCAUCCCCGUCACAGUCUGCACUCUGCAGGACUGAGCUGUUGUGGAUGCACCACCCGGAUGGCCUGGUGCAUGAAGCUGGAACUGCGGCAAAAGCCAGCAACGAUAAUAAUCGAUCGGUGUCAGAAGCAACAGAAACAUUUCUAGAUGCAUGGAGCAGCAGGUCAGUGCCAUAAGGAAACGCAGCUCGCCUGCCAGGGUUUUAAAACCCCUAGGGUGCCUGCCAGUAGGGAAACCGUACAUGUGUCCAUGCCACCGAUACAAUCGCGGAUUUAGCAUAAUUAUGCGCUCGCGUGAAUGUGUUGUGUGACUGGCUGGGCAUAUGUACAUGCUCAUACAGUUGCUAAAUGCGAUGCCUGAGGGGCACUGCAAUUACUCCCGCCCUUGCUUGCUUACAGGAUCUCGUAGGUUGAAGCAUGAUAUGCUACAUACGAUGAUUCCCCUGAACCAUCUCAGAUUAUUCAUCACAUACAACUGCUGGGUUAUUUCUACGUACCUGGAUCUGUGGGCGGGGGGAAUAUCAUGGGGCAGGCACUGGGGGGCACAAUAUCCCAAAUAGCCGUAUUUGCAUCACAACCCUUGGAUGAGGUGAUUGCCCAACGUCGCCCAUCAUCAUCCCGGCAGGUUAAGUCCAGGAUGCCAUCCCCGUCACAGUCUGCACUCUGCAGGACUGCGGUGUCGUGGAUGCACCACCCGGAUGGCCUGGUGCAUGAAGCUGCGGCAAAAAAAAACAGCAACGAUAAUAAUUGAUCAAUGCCAGAAGCAGAUAGGGCAGGUGGCCUAGCUAGGAAAGGCCACAUGAAGGGUGGAGGCCAGACCAGCUGGAAAUGAAAGGCCAGGCAGUGUAACUACGAUUUCUGGACGCAUCGAGCAGGUCGGUGCCACAAAGAGACUCAGGGCUUGCUUGCCAGCAGCCGUAGGAUAACCGUACAUGCAUGCAUGCAUGCAUGCCACCAAUACAUUCGGUGAUUGAGCAUAGCUAUGCGCUUGCAUGCAUGUUUUGUGCGAUUGGGCAUAUGUAUACAGUUGCCAAAUGUGAUGCCUGGGGGGCUUCAGGUAAGGUGCACACACUGCUGCAAUUCACUGCUCCGAAGCAAGUGGGGUUGAACAAUGAUAUGCUAUGAUAAUUCCGAGGGGCAAUGCCGGUUCGAGGGAAUUCCCUCGAACCAUCUCAAUUUCAUCGCAACGGCUGGGUUAUUACUACGUACCUGGAUCUGUGGGUGGCGAGAAUAUCUUGGGGCAGGCACUGGGGGGCACAAUAUCCCAAAUAGCCGCAUUUGCAUCACAGCCCGUGGAUGAGGUGAUCGCCCAACGUCGCCCAUCAUCAUCCCGGCAGGUAACAUCCAGGGCGCCAUCCCCGUCACAGUCUGCACUCUGCAGGACUGAGCUGUUGUGGAUGCACCACCCGGAUGGCCUGGUGCAUGAAGCUGGAACUGCGGCAAAAGCCAGCAACGAUAAUAAUCGAUCGGUGUCAGAAGCAACAGAAACAUUUCUAGAUGCAUGGAGCAGCAGGUCGGUGCCAUAAGGAAACGCAGCUCGCCUGCCAGGGUUUUAAAACCCCUAGGGCGCCUGCCAGUAGGACAAGUUGGGUGUCGGCUUCAAGGAAGCCGGAAAAAGGGCGGGGCCCCUCUGCAUCCGUACAGGCCGGUAGCAAAGGUGGCAAGUGUGACAAUUGAUGGGUAGUGUCAACGCGGUGGGAGAUGUGCUUUGUUGCAGCAGUGCUGAUGGUGUGAGAGCUAAGCUUGCACCGGCGAAAUCGUCAGCACCGCCUGAGGGCUCCACGCGAAUCGCAUCCAUUCCGGGUGCAUGCCGCAUGGACAGUGCGGCAGACCGCAAGUCGGAAUGCCCGUGCGGGCAAAUGGUAACGAAAGCUGGGUGAAUUUCGGUGCUGUCUGUGAUGUUUAUCCCCGAAGCGCCAGCGGCCUCAGCAAUCCGCCCCACAGCCGCGGGCUUCAUCGGGGCACACCGCAAGUCUCAGGAGGCCCCGUGCAUUGGCCAAAGUAAAUGUACAAACAAGCAGCUUGUGUAUUUCAUAGAGAAAUGAAAGUAAAUUAUGUUGGCCUGCUGGUGGCAAGUCGGAUUGCCCAUGCCGGCAAAUGGUAACACAAGCUGGGUGUUCGAGUUAUCAUACGCUGUCAUCUCGGAAAUCAAUUAUGAGAUACACGGCACCUUUUGAGAUGAAAUAUAGCCCGAGAGGUGUUGAUGUGACUUUUGAGGUCGGUGAAUGGAGGCAGCUAAACUUGUUUGUGCUCAUACGGUCUUUGUUAGCUACAUGCGAGAUACCUUGCAAUAGAGAAUGCUGUAUAGUACCGAUAACGCGUUUCAGCCGGGCGAGAUAUUAUGUUUGGUCCGUUACAGACACACACACACACACACACACACACACACACACACACACACACACACACGGACAUGGGCAAUCCUACAGGUCGGGGCCCCCCUGGGCGCUUCGCGCUGGGGCCCCGCCCAAAAACCGUACAUGUGUCUAUGCCACCGAUACAAUCGCGGAUUUAGCAUAAUUAUGCGCUCGCGUGAAUGUGUUGUGUGACUGGCUGGGCAUAUGUACAUGCUCAUACAGUUGCUAAAUGCGAUGCCUGAGGGGCACUGCAAUUACUCCCGCCCUUGCUUGCUUACAGGAUCUCGUAGGUUGAAGCAUGAUAUGCUACAUACGAUGAUUCCCCUGAACCAUCUCAGAUUAUUCAUCACAUACAACUGCUGGGUUAUUUCUACGUACCUGGAUCUGUGGGCGGGGGGAAUAUCAUGGGGCAGGCACUGGGGGGCACAAUAUCCCAAAUAGCCGUAUUUGCAUCACAACCCUUGGAUGAGGUGAUUGCCCAACGUCGCCCAUCAUCAUCCCGGCAGGUUAAGUCCAGGAUGCCAUCCCCGUCACAGUCUGCACUCUGCAGGACUGCGGUGUCAUGGAUGCACCACCCGGAUGGCCUGGUGCAUGAAGCUGCGGCAAAAAAAACAGCAACGAUAAUAAUUGAUCAAUGCCAGAAGCAGAUAGGGCAGGUGGCCUAGCUAGGAAAGGCCACAUGAAGGGUGGAGGCCAGACCAGCUGGAAAUGAAAGGCCAGGCAGUGUAACUACGAUUUCUAGACGCAUUGAGCAG